rnacentral:lncRNA from 10 species
AAAACAUACAAUAAAUACAUUUAAUAUUCUAAAAGAAAUAAGAAUCCUUGAAUGAGCAUAGAUUAAGGAGCUGUAAACAUGACCAAGCAGAUUUCCUAAAGAACCAUUGUAGAAAUGAGAAAAUAUGAAGGGUUUUUUUUCUUUCUUUUUUAUUAUACUUUAAUCUCUGAUAAAACAGACUUUAAACCAACAAAGAUCAAAAGAGACGAAGAAGGUUUUUUAAAAUAAAAGAUAAAUCAAAUGGCAGAGUAGUCAAAAUUUAAAAAGAGCAUUAACAAACUGAAAUUGUGGUCUGAGGAAAUUAUCCAGGGUUAGCCAGAAAAAAAAAAGGAAAAAUGUGAGAGAGAGGUUAAAACACAUAGCUUAUAGAGUGAGAAAGAUUAACAUUUGUCUACUCAAGUUUAGGAUAAUGGAAAGAGUGGAACAAAAACAAUAUUUGAGGGGAUAAUGGCUGAGAUUUUUU